GACGAACGCUGGCGGCGUGCCUAAUACAUGCAAGUUGAGCGCUGAAGGUUGGUACUUGUGCCAACUGGAUGAGCAGCGCACGGGUGAGUAACGCGUGGGGAAUCUGCCUUUGAGCGGGGGACAACAUUUGGAAACGAAUGCUAAUACCGCAUAAAAACUUUAAACACAAGGUUUAAGUUUGAAAGAUGCCAUUGCAUCACUCAAAGAUGAUCCCGCGUUGUAUUAGUUAGUUGGUGAGGUAAAGGCUCACCAAGGCGAUGAUACAUAGCCGACCUGAGAGGGUGGUCGGCCACAUUGGGACGGAGACACGGCCCAAACGCCUACGGGAGGCAGCAGGAGGGAAUCUGCGGCAAUGGACGAAAGUCUGACCGAGCAACGCCGCGGGAGGGAAGAAGGGUGUCGGAUCGUAAAACUCUGUUGGUAGAGAAGAACGUUGGUGAGAGUGGAAAGCUCAGCAAGUGACGGUAACUACCCAGAAAGGGACGGCUAACUACGUG
rnacentral:rRNA from 1 species